AACGCAUCUUGCGCUUUUGGGUUAUUCCUGAAAGCAUGUUUGUUGGAGUAACGGAAAGUCUCAACCCCGUCUAACUUUUUUGUUAGUCUGUCAGGGUUUGAAUCUUGAUACUUGUUGUCUUUAAGUAGACCAACUGUGUUGAAAAAUAUGAAGCCGAACGUGUAUUUAUCCUCGUGAACUUAAGCAGGCUCCGGCUAACUAUUGUUGUAAUACAUUUUCAAUAGUGUUGUUUAGUUCGCCUUAACGAGUUUAUACCGUAAAGUAAGCUUACCAAUUUUAUUGCUCAGUGCAAUAAGCCUUUUUAAACUUGUUCUCCAAUCAAGCAGGACUACCCGCUGAACUUAA
rnacentral:misc_RNA from 1 species